AUCUACUUUAAUGCUGUUUAGAUAUCUUCACUGAGUGCCAAGUCUAAUGGUUCUGAGUAAAUCUUUACCUCAGAUACUGAGGAGCUGUCUGUGACACAACAAAUCUCCACCACUGCUGCUGAUGCCAGCAUUGCUGUGCCAGUGACAACACCAGGCAAUGCCAGUGCAGUUCUCCCUACAAAUGUCUUUGAAUACGGUACUCAGAGAUAAGGCUUUGUCAAGGCUCCAUGACAGACAGCGG
rnacentral:lncRNA from 1 species